UCGCUAGUAAUCGCGAAUCAGAAUGUCGCGGUGAAUACGUUCCCGGGUCUUGUACACACCGCCCGUCACACCAUGGAAGUAGGUUGCACCAGAAGUAGGUAGCUUAACCCUCGGGAGGGCGCUUACCACGGUGUGGUUUAUGACUGGGGUGAAGUCGUAACAAGGUAGCCGUACGGGAACGUGCGGCUGGAUCACCUCCUUUAAGGAGUUAGAAAAGCCUUAGUCGAUAUCGGCGCGAGCUCCCUCACAAAUUAUCUGAUUUAUAGCAGCAGCCCGUGGGUCUGUAGCUCAGUUGGUUAGAGCGCACCCCUGAUAAGGGUGAGGUCGGAAGUUCAAAUCUUCCCAGACCCACCAUUUACAGAGGGGCCAUAGCUCAGCUGGGAGAGCGCCUGCCUUGCACGCAGGAGGUCGGCGGUUCGAUCCCGCCUGGCUCCACCAUCUUUUGCGGUGACCUGUUGCAUAAAAUUUAAAUCUUCAAAUUAAAGGAAACCCUUUCUUAUGAAGAUAUUGUUCUUUAACAAUUUGGAUAUUUCUGACGUCUUGUUGGGUUAAUUGACUCGUUUUUAUUAAGUCGGUUAGUUCAAUCAAGUUGUCGCAUUUGCACAUGUCGCAUGAUAUGUAUCGGACGAAGUUUGUCUGGUGGAAAUUAAGAGUAUCGGUCUGCACAAAAGGACACUGAUUGCUCUGUAUUUCGCCUAAUGUAUAUCGUGAAAACGAGUUUGCUUUGGGUUAUAUGGUCAAGCGACUAAGCGCACAUGGUGGAUGCCUAGGCAGUAAGAGGCGAUGAAGGACGUUGUAGUCUGCGAUAAGCUUCGGCGAG
rnacentral:misc_RNA from 1 species